rnacentral:rRNA from 1 species
UACAGAGGGGGCAAGCGUUAUUCGGAAUUAUUGGGCGUAAAGGGCUCGUAGGUGGCCAACUAAGUCAGACGUGAAAUCCCUCGGCUUAACCGGGGAACUGCGUCUGAUACUGGAUGGCUUGAGAUUGGGAGAGGGAUGCGGAAUUCCAGGUGUAGCGGUGAAAAUGCGUAGAUAUCUGGAGGAACACCGGUGGCGAAGGCGGGUCUCUGGGCCGUAACUGACGCUGAGGAGCGAAAGCAUGGGGAGCGAAACAGGG